rnacentral:sRNA from 1 species
AUGCAGGGCACAGUGGAGGACUACAAGAGCAAGUAUGAGGAUGAAAUCAACAGGCACUCAUACGCAGAGAAUGAAUUCGUGACCCUGAAGAAGGAUGUAGACGCCGCCUUUAUGAGAAAGGUUGAACUACAAGGAAAUGCAGACAGUCUGGCAG